UAUAUACUCCCUCCAUCCAAAAAUACUUGUCAUCAAAAUAGAUAAAAAAAAGAUGCAUCUAGAAUUAAAAUACAUCUAGAUACAUCCCCUUUCAUCCAUUUUGAUGACAAGUAUUUUCAGACGAAGGGAGUAUAAU
rfam:Triticum urartu cultivar G1812 contig460635, whole genome shotgun sequence.